rnacentral:rRNA from 1 species
UACGUAGGGGGCAAGCGUUGUCCGGAAUCAUUGGGCGUAAAGAGCGUGUAGGCGGUUCGGUAAGUCGGCUGUGAAAGUCCAGGGCUCAACCCUGGGAUGCCGGUCGAUACUGCCGGACUAGAGUUCGGAAGAGGCGAGUGGAAUUCCCGGUGUAGCGGUGAAAUGCGCAGAUAUCGGGAGGAACACCUAUGGCGAAGGCAGCUCGCUGGGACGUUACUGACGCUGGAGACGCGAAAGCGUGGGGAGCAAACAGG